rnacentral:rRNA from 1 species
GACGAACGCUGGCGGCGUGCUUAACACAUGCAAGUCGAACGGAAAGGCCCUGCUUUUGUGGGGUGCUCGAGUGGCGAACGGGUGAGUAACACGUGAGUAACCUGCCCUUGACUUUGGGGUAACUUCAGGAAACUGGGGCUAAUACCGGAUAGGAGCUCCUGCUGCAUGGUGGGGGUUGGAAAGUUUCGGCGGUUGGGGAUGGACUCGCGGCUUAUCAGCUUGUUGGUGGGGUAGUGGCUUACCAAGGCUUUGACGGGUAGCCGGCCUGAGAGGGUGACCGGCCACAUUGGGACUGAGAUACGGCCCAGACUCCUACGGGAGGCAGCAGUGGGGAAUAUUGUACAAUGGGCGGAAGCCUGAUGCAGCAACGCCGCGUGCGGGAUGACGGCCUUUGGGUUGUAAACCGCUUUCGCCUGUGACGAAGCGUGAGUGACGGUAAUGGGUAAAGAAGCACCGGCUAACUACGUG